AUCCAGUUAACGAGUCCCAAAUAGAACGAAACGCGCGUCAAACUGGAU
rnacentral:hammerhead_ribozyme from 1 species